AUGCCAAACUGUCUGGGAAUGUUGGGAAUGAAAAUCUUUCUGAUUUUGAAGAUUUCCCGCCGGAAAAUUUCCCGCCUGGAGGGCUUGAUUACGGUGAUGCAUUGCAAGAUGCUUCUAGCAUGGAGGAGGAACUACCGUCGUCGUCAAACACUGAUAGUGCAGAAAGUGGAAAUGUUGUUAAGGUUGAUAUGCUUUUCUUCGCUGUUAUGA
rnacentral:rRNA from 1 species